rnacentral:snRNA from 1 species
UUCUCGGGGCCGCAGGUUGUGAGCGCGUGAGGCUGUCGCAGUGUGAUUUUCUGCAAUGGUCCCCAAUUUGGGACCAACAAAAUUGGCUGUAUUUUUCCAGUCAGGACGGGUGCUGUGAGCCUGCUCAAUCCGGUCUACGGGUCGGCCUUGUAUUGCAUUACCUCGAGGAUUGGCCCAUUAAUG